AUCCAGCUGACGAGUCCCAAAUGGGCUGAAACACGCGUCCUGGAU
rnacentral:hammerhead_ribozyme from 1 species